GGGAUUGUGCCAGCAGCCCGGUAAUACGGAGGGUGCAAGCGUUAUCCGGAUUCACUGGGUUUAAAGGGUGCGUAGGUGGGAAUGUAAGUYAGUKGUGAAAUCUCCGUGCUCAACAUGGAAACUGCCAUUGAUACUAUGUUUCUUGAAUCUUCCGGAGGUCAGCGGAAUAUGUCAUGUAGCGGUGAAAUGCUUAGAUAUGACAUAGAACACCAAUUGCGAAGGCAGCUGACUACAGGGGCAUUGACACUGAGGCACGAAAGCGUGGGGAUCAAACAGGAUUAGAUACCCUGGUAGUCCACGCCCUAAACGAUGGAUACUCGACAUUUGUGAUACACAAUAAGUGUCUGAGCGAAGCAUUAAGUAUCCCACCUGGGAAGUACGACCGCAAGGUUGAAACUCAAAGGAAUUGGCGGGGGUCCGCACAAGCGGUGGAGCAUGUGGUUUAAUUCGAUGAUACGCGAGGAACCUUACCCGGGCUAGAAUGCAUUUUGACCGCCGGUGAAAGCUGGUUUUGUAGCAAUACACAGAAUGUAAGGUGCUGCAUAGCUGUCGUCAGCUCGUGCCGUGAGGUGUUGGGUUAAGCCCCGCAACGAGCGCAACCCCUAUCAUUAGUUGCCAACAGGUCAAGCUGGGAACUCUAGUGAAACUGCCGUCUUAAGACGUGAGGAAGGAGGGGAUGAUGUCAAGUCAUCAUGGCCUUUAUGCCCGGGGCUACACACGUGCUACAAUGGGGAGGACAAAGAGCUGCUACCUGGUGACAGGAUGCCAAUCUCAAAAACCUUCUCUCAGUUCAGAUUGCAGGCUGCAACUCGCCUGCAUGAAGCUGGAAUCGCUAGUAAUCGUAGAUCAGCAACGCUACGGUGAAUACGUUCCCGGACCUUGCACUCACCGCCCGUC
rnacentral:rRNA from 1 species